GAGGCUUUAGCUUAAUUAAAGCGUCUGAGUUGCAAUUAGAUGAUGUGAGUUGUUGCUUGCAGGUCUUC
rnacentral:tRNA from 1 species